GACGAACCGUGCGAACGUUGUUCGGAAUCACUGGGCUUAAAGGGCGCGUAGGCGGGCUAUCAAGUCAGGGGUGAAAGCCCACGGCCCAACCGUGGAGGUGCCUUUGAUACUGGUAGUCUGGAGGGAGGUAGGGGCGUGCGGAACUUCCGGUGGAGCGGUGAAAUGCGUAGAUAUCGGAAGGAACACCGAUGGCGAAAGCAGCGCGCUGGACCUCUUCUGACGCUGAGGCGCGAAAGCCAGGGGAGCAAACGGG
rnacentral:rRNA from 1 species